GCGGGGAGGGGCGGGGCAGAGCAGCGCCCACCGCGGCCGGCCCUCAACGCGGCGCGGGCGGAUUACAGGCAAAGCCCGCGCGCGUAAGCCGGGUUGACGGGGAAAAGCCGCUCGAAGGGCUUUGCGAUCCUGUUAAGUGCUCGGAAAGGAUCAACAUGUCAAAGCCGCCCGGCGGCGCCGGCACAUUUCUCGCCACGCCGAGCCGCCUCAACCGCUCUCGGUCCGGCGGGCUCCGAGGGCUGUGGGUGCCUCCGCCGCCCCGAGCUCCGUGCUGAGGGGAGAGGGCGGGCGGCAGGCUCCACGCCAAUCCCAGCGCCUCGCACACGCCGCCUCCGCCGCCAGAGCCCGGCCCACCCGCCGCGGGCGGCCGUGCUGAGGGACGGUUCGGCUCGGGAGUGCUGCUGCCGGCUGGGAACCUGAAGGAGCGGGUUUGGCCGUGAAGGUGCCUGGCCUCCGCCCCGCCGUGCCUGCGGGUCCGGGCGGGCAGCGUGAGGGGACGGCUUCCCACGGCGCGGGUGGGACCGGCACCUCCUCCCCGAGGAAAAGGGCUCUCCCCUCGGUGCACCGCUGAGGUCCAGAAAAGAUGGAAACAAAAUGCUGUGUGAAAGCUCCAUAAAAUGCCUCUUCAGCUGGAAGAGAGUCAGUAAAAGGCAUGUCAUUCAUCGCUGAGAAGCUGCUGCACUUUGGUGCAUGGUGUCAGUUCAGGCAGAUUGAACAAAACAUGACUCCAAAAGUGCAUAUUCCCAGCAGUUUCUUGGAAGCGUGGGAGCUAACCUAUCAGGAGGCCAGGAAGUGCCAGGUUGGUGUUUUCCCUCAGAAGGCUCAGGCUCUAUGUUCUUCAUUUAGGUAUGUCCUGUUUGCAGAUCCUGACUUCCUAAUUAUCACAAGGGUGUGUUGCCCCCAUGUCCUGGUUGCUAUAUGAAGGGAAUUUGGGCAGGGAAUACAGCAAAAAGCUGUGGACAUUUCCAAAGAGUCCUAGAUCUGUUCUUCAAGGUGAUGAGGACUUGUGGCUGCAUGGUAACUUGCUUCAUCACUAAGUCUGGGAUGCAGUCUGAAUGCUAGUGUAGAUAAAUGCCAAGAAAGGAAGGCCACAGAGUCUGCAAUUUAAGAGAGUACAAGUUCCCAGCUUGCACAUUUUACACGUUUGUAUUUUGGUAGGGAGAUGCUGCUUCCUUGGUUUUGAAAAGAUUGGCUUUAGGUUGGUAUUUGGCCCAGAAAUACCUAAAUUUGUGACAUAACUGUUAUUUUUGGCACGUAGCCUUGAAAAAAAUGUAGAUAUGAGCUAUUUAAGGAAGGCAGCCAAAAAUGAAUUAUACAUACAUACAUACCCAGUUCUGUCUUUUGGACUCAAGCCCUUCCCAGAUGCAAGCAAUGCAUUUCUAAAUGGCGUGGAGUAAGACUGUUACUUCCCAAACAAGUUCAGGGGAAUGAUUAAAAGAAGGAAUAACACAGCAGUAAUAGGGACUGUCAGUCUAAUAUGCAGCAAAGAGAGCUCACUGUAUGUGCUUCAUUGGUGAUUAGCAAGAUGCAGUGUUCUUGUAGCGAUAAUGAUGGUAUCUGAGGAACUAUCAUGGAUUUGUGAAACAGCUAGGCAGUUCUGCAAUCAAAUUAUUCAAACAAACCUCAACAAGCAGAUUUGUUUCGCUGACAUUCCAGUUAAAUAAAGCAUUCUCUGAUGUUUUGGUAGCAGUGCCCCAUAUCAUGAUCUUCACAUUUAAAUAUGUUUGGAAGAACAGACACUA